rnacentral:rRNA from 1 species
CCUACGGGAGGCAGCAGUGGGGAAUAUUGCACAGUGGGGGAAACCCUGAUGCAGCAACGCCGCGUGAGUGAAGAAGUAUUUCGGUAUGUAAAGCUCCAUCAAUAGGGAAGAAGAAAGACGGUACCUGACUAAGAAGCCCCGGCUAACUACGUGCCAGCAGCCGCGGUAAUACGUAGGGGGCAAGCGUUAUCCGGAUUUACUGGGUGUAAAGGGAGCGUAGACGGCAUAGCAAGUCUGAAGUGAAAGCCCGUGGCUCAACCGCGGAACUGCUUUGGAAACUGUUAAGCUGGAGUACUGGAGAGGCA